rnacentral:rRNA from 1 species
UGCCUAUGGGAGGCAGCAGUGGGGAAUAUUGCACAAUGGGGGAAACCCUGAUGCAGCGACGCCGCGUGGGUGAAGAAGUACUUCGGUACGUAAAGCCCUAUCAGCAGGGAAGAAAAUGACGGUACCUGAUUAAGAAGCCCCGGCUAACUACGUGCCAGCAGCCGCGGGAAUACGAAGGGGGCAAGCGUUAUCCGGAUUUACUGGGUGUAAAGGGAUCGUAGACGGCAUUGCAAGUCCGGCGUGAAAGC